AUUGAACGCUGGCGGCAUGCUUUACACAUGCAAGUCGAACGGUAACAGGCCUUCGGGUGCUGACGAGUGGCGAACGGGUGAGUAAUGCAUCGGAACGUGCCCAGAGGUGGGGGAUAACGCAGCGAAAGCUGUGCUAAUACCGCAUGUGAUCUGAGGAUGAAAGCGGGGGACCAGGCAGCAAUGUUUGGCCUCGCGCCUUUGGAGCGGCCGAUGUCAGAUUAGGUAGUUGGUGGGGUAAAGGCCUACCAAGCCGACGAUCUGUAGCUGGUCUGAGAGGACGACCAGCCACACUGGGACUGAGACACGGCCCAGACUCCUACGGGAGGCAGCAGUGGGGAAUUUUGGACAAUGGGCGAAAGCCUGAUCCAGCAAUGCCGCGUGCGGGAAGAAGGCCUUCGGGUUGUAAACCGCUUUUGUACGGAACGAAAAGGCGCUGGCUAAUACCUGGGGCUGAUGACGGUACCGUAAGAAUAAGCACCGGCUAACUACGUG
rnacentral:rRNA from 1 species